AUGAACGCUGGCGGCGUGCCUAAUACAUGCAAGUCGAGCGAACAGAUAAGGAGCUUGCUCCUUUGACGUUAGCGGCGGACGGGUGAGUAACACGUGGGUAACCUACCUAUAAGACUGGAAUAACUCCGGGAAACCGGGGCUAAUGCCGGAUAAUAUUUAGAACCGCAUGGUUCUAAAGUGAAAGAUGGUUUUACUAUCACUUAUAGAUGGACCCGCGCCGUAUUAGCUAGUUGGUGGGGUAAUGGCUUACCAAGGCAACGAUACGUAGCCGACCUGAGAGGGUGAUCGGCCACACUGGAACUGAGACACGGUCCAG
rnacentral:rRNA from 1 species